rnacentral:lncRNA from 1 species
CUUGAAGAUAUAUUUAGCACACCUUCAACAAGGUUAUUCUUUAACUAUGGGUAGAGGCCGAGGAAAAGGGAAGAAGCAAUCCGCUAGUGUGGAUGAUCUUGUAAGUGAUGAAGAGGAUAAAGUACCAGCUCACAGAAAACGAGGAAGACCGUUAAAGCCGGUCACAGAUGAAAACGAAGAAGUUGAAGUAACUGAAAAGAUAGAGAAAGAUGAGGAGAAUGUAAAUGGUAAUGUUUCAAACAACGACUUGAAAACGCAGGUUAUCACUGUGAAUAAAAGGAAAAGGAAGAGGACUUCACAGGUUAAAGAAAAGAUAGAACCAAUGAAAGAGGAGAAUGGCGUCCGAGCAAAGUCUAGCCCUGGUGAUUCUGUGAAGUCUACUGGAUUCCGACAAAAUGGAAGCAGGCGUAAAAGCAAGCCUCGCCGUGCUGCUGAAGCUGGUGUAGAUUGCAGGUGAGAAAGGUUUUGUGGUGAUAGUUCAAUGCCCUUGGAAUUUAUGGAACUUUGCUAUCAGAAGUCAGGGUUUAUUGAUUAUAUAAGGCUUUUAUGGUUGCUUUUGCUUAUUAUUAUUAUUGUAACUUUCAUAUGCUUUUGCCAAAAAUUGCUUACUUUAGUUUUGAGGCUUCAUUGUAGACUAUGUUACUAUAGAGAUACUAUUGCUAAACAAAUUAUUGAAAUUUUGUUGAUAUUCUUUUAUCACGAGUUUAUAAGUUGAUUUCCUCUUGUUUUCACAAAUUGAUUUCCUCAGGUGUAUGUAUGUGAUGCCUUUAUUGAGAUUCAUACUAAUUGUAUGCUGCUAAAAUUAAGCCUUCCCUUGAGGGAUUAAUUUUGUUAGUAGAAAAAAGUUAAAUUAGUUCUUUGCUUUUUCAAAUACAAUCUGAAUGAUAAAAACCAUGCAUGAGGUGCUUGAAUGUCCAUUCAGUUGUUCAAAUUAGUCUGCACAUUAUCUGGCCUAAAUUCGAGCUAACAAUGGCAUGCUACUUUUGGAUUCAAAUUCAAUCAUUGUUGCAACUUGCAUAAAAGGAGACAGACAUAUUUUAGUCUCUUCAACUUGCAAAGGAUCAACAAAUGCAACAUGUUAUGUUGUUUCAUAUACUAAGGUUAUUGUUGAUUACAUCAAUGGUCUCAUUGUCCUGCCGAAUUAGACAGAACUUGUAGUUUAACAGGAUUGUAAGCUUCUCUUUAUGAGUUUGUAAUAACUUCUAAAAUCCAUGUUAGGGGACAUUUAAAUGUUAAUGCUCAUAGUGUGGUUGUCACUUAUUGUUGUUGAUUCAAGAACAUUUUAUAACCUUAGGUAUUGACCGUGUUGGAAAGAAAUGACAUUAUUAGAGAACACCAAUUUUCAAACUUUUCUUUUUUUGACACUCAAUUUUCAAACUUGAGCAUAAACAUAAAACAAAAACAGAAUGGAUGAAAGAAUUAUGGUGGGAAUAGGAGUGAAGAUCCUCAGACCUAGUAGGUUCAACAUGGAAAGCUUGGAUUGGUUCAUCUAUGGGAUCAAUCUGAGAGGGUUCGGAGAAUAUUUUAGAUUGAGUUUCAACAGUGACAUUUUGGGUUUGCAUGUUCUCAGAGCUAAAUUCAGAGAGUUUCAGGUUGAUUUUUUGGGUUUUGAGAUGAAAUGGGGUUAUCAGAGACAUGGUUAGGAGAUUUUGGGGGUGACAAAGGAGAUGGUGGUGAUGGUGAUCGUUAUUUGAGAUUUUUGCUCAACAAUAUUAUUUGAGAUUUUUUAUGAUUUUCAAUUUUUUUUUGAUAAAAUUGAAACGAUCCUCAGCUAAAACUUUAGUACAAAUAUCAAUUAGCUGAUUUUCAGUAUCAACAAAAUGACCGUUAUCUUCAAAGCAAACUUAUGUAGACAUUGCAAAAAAAAACUAUCCAAAUGCAAGAACGUUCUCACAACGCUUUCCAGAAAUUACUGAAAUUUGGCUUAGAUCAAAGAAGUUGUUGCUUGUUCAUCAAGGUAACUGUGAAGGGUAGAAAAUAACAGCCGUAACUUGUUAUCCAAAAUUGUUCACUUCAUACUUGCAAAGUACAACUUGCUUUUCUCUUGUAAGAAGGACAUUGGAGAAUGUUCAUAAAAUGUUCUUUUGGAAUCACAAGUCAACCAAUAGUUCAGAUAUGUUGUAAGCUUCCAACCAUAGUUCUCCUUAUCUUGUUUAUUGUUUACUUUGUUAUUUAGUUGCUACUUUGUUACUUCACUUACACAUCAAAGUAUUAUUAGUGUGAUUUUCCAUUCAAAUUCACAACAAUUAAAACCCACCACGAGGCUAUCAAAAUAAUAUUAAAGUAAGCACCAUGAGUACCAAGUGGAACAUCAAGGGACUUUCUUGGGACAAUUUUGAAUUGUGGAAAGUGAAAAUGGAAAUAAUUUUAAUUUAACCCAGAUGUGUAAAAACUUUGGUAGGUGAGUUGUUGAUGCAGAUAAACUUAGCACAAUAAAAUAAAAUCGGGAUGAUUGAUAAAGCAUGAAGUAUUGUUAUCCGGUACUUUUAAGAUAAAAAGUUAUGGGGAUCGCAAAGGAGAAUGUCAUUAUGAAGAGACUGUGGUAAUAAUAAUUAGGCUUAAUUAGUCUUUUGGUCCCUUAAAGAUAUUUUAGGUUUCACAAUGGUCCCUUAAAGAAAAAAAGAUCAGGAUUGGUCCCUUAAAGACACAUUUGUUUCUCAAUUGGUCAUUUCCGUCAAUUUUUUACAAAAAACGUUAGUUUUAGCAGACUGAAUUGUGGAUGUCAUUAAGUGUAAGUGGUCCACCAAAAACCUUAUUAAUUUUUAAAAUUUUAACCAUUGAAAUUUUUUGUUAUAUUUGGAGUUAAAAUNNNNNNNNNNNNNNNNNNNNNNNNNNNNNNNNNNNNNNNNNNNNNNNNNNNNNNCAUCAUUUUCUCUCUAUCAUCGGAUCAAAAUCUUCACCAAACAAUAAAAAACCAAUUUUUAUCUCAUUUUCUAAAAUGGGUUGUGUCUGAGAUGCAAGAAAUUUGAUUCAACAUAAAAAGGGUCAGUUUUAUUUCACCACUUUCAGUUAUUAUCUCUUCAAUUUUAUUGCUUUUUGUUUUCUGUGUGUUUAUUUCAUGUUUCUUAUAAUGAAAAGAGUAACUGAUACAAUUUUUAUUUUUUUUAUAGUUUCUUUUUUUCGUUGCUGUUAAGGUUCUUUGAAUUUGAUGAAAUUUUCUGACAUUGGCACAGUACUAGAUCGAACAUGCGCUUUGAAAAAAACAUAAAAAACAUAUCUUUUUGUAUGCUGCUUCUAUGGUUUCUUUGCUAUGAAAUUGAGUAUUUUUGCAUUUUUGGGUUUCUUUAAUCUAUCUCUUAAGAAAUAGUGAAAAGGGUUUCAUUUGUUUUGUUUAGGAUUAGAUGAUCCAUGAUAAAAUGGAGACAACUUGUAUCUUUGGUUGUUCAAGAUUUCAGCAGUAGUAAGAUGCAAGUACUGUGUUCGUGCCUGUUGUUUCUGAUCAUUGAAUACUGAAUGUUUUUCCUGAAUGAUGUUUGGUUUAGGUCUUUUUAUGUUUAACAAUAUAUUGAAGUCCCUGUUUUUGAUCCUAACAUAGUAACAAACUGAAGAGAAAUUGUAAUUGCAUACUUGAUCUCUGUUAAUAUUGAUUCAAGUUAUAGAUAUUGCAUCCGAGAGGGAAGUGUGGAAAAGUGGUUGGAAAGUAGCAUAUCACGAAAUCGAUGUGCAGUUUUUAACAACCGUCUUUUAAACCUCGUGGUUUAAGAUUAACAUUUUUUCAUUGUGGUUAGUUUUUCAGUCUUUGAUCUCUAUGUUUUGGAAUUUAAAGUAUAAUUGUAUUUCUAUUUAUGCAGAUUUCUUUAAGAUAUAUUUAGUACACUUUCAACGAGGUUCUUCUUUAACUAUGGGUAGAGGCCGGGGAAAAGGGAAGAAGCAAUCUGCUAGUGUCGAUGAUCUUCUAAGUGAUGAAGAGGAUAAAUUACCAGCUCACAGAAAAAGAGGUAGACCGUUAAAGCCGGUCACAGAUGAAAACGAAGAAGUUGAAGUAACUGAAAAGAUAGAGAAAGACGAGGAGAAUGUAAGUGCUAAUGUUUCAAACAACGACUUGAAAACGCAGGUUAUCACUGUGAAUAAAAGGAAAAGGAAGAGGACUUCACAUGUUAAAGAAAAGAUAGAACCAAUGAAAGAGGAGAAUGGCAUCCGAGCAAAGUCUAGCUCUGGUGAUUCAGUGAAGUCUACUGGAUUCCGACAAAAUGGAAGCAGGCGUAAAAGCAAACCUCACCCCUCGCCGUGCUGCUGAAGCUGGUGUAGAUUGCAGGUGAGAAAGGUUUUGUGGUGAUUGUUCAUUGCCCUUGGAAUUGCUGGAACUUUGCUAUCACAAGUCAGGGUUUAUUUGAUUAUAUAAGGCUUUUAUGGUUGCUUUUGCUUCUUACUAUUAUUGUAACUUUCAUAUGCUUUUUCCUAAAAAUUACUUACUUUAGUUUUGAGGCUUCAUAGUAGAUUAAGUUACUAUAGAGAUACUAUUGCUAAAAAACUAUUGAAAUUUUUUGUAGAUAUUCUUUUAUCAUGAGUUUAUAAGUUGAUUUCCUCUUGCUUUCACAACUUGCCUAAAUUGCCACUGUUGUCGAUGAAAACCUUCAAGGUCUUCCCCAAACUUGUAUUCAAGAUUUCCAUCAUAGAGCCUCAAUCAUCCAUAUAGCUAUCACUCUAGAACUUGCAAUUGCGGCUUAGU